AGCGUAAUCGGAUUACUGGGCGUAAAGCGCGCGUAGGUGGCCAAUUAAGUCAAAUGUGAAAUCCCCGAGCUUAACUUGGGAAUUGCAUUCGAUACUGGUUGGCUAGAGUAUGGGAGAGGAUGGUAGAAUUCCAGGUGUAGCGGUGAAAUGCGUAGAGAUCUGGAGGAAUACCGAUGGCGAAGGCGGCCAUCUGGCCUAAUACUGACACUGAGGUGCGAAAGCUUGGGGAGCAAACAGGAUUAGAAACCCCGGUAGUCCGUGCCGUACACGAUGUCUACUAGCCGUUGGGGUCUUUGAGACUUUAGUGGCGCAGCUAACGCGAUAAGUAGACCGCCUGGGGAGUACGGUCGCGAGACUAACACUCAAAUGAAUUGACGGGGGCGCGCACAAGCGGUGGAGCAUGUGGUGUAAUUCGAUGCAACGCGAAGACCCUCACCUGGUCGUGAUAUAGAAAGAACUUUCCAGAGAUGGAUUGCUGCCUGCGGGAACUUACAUACAUGUGCUGCAUGCCUGUGCGUCAGCUCGUGUCGUGAGAUGUUGUGUUA
rnacentral:rRNA from 1 species